CAACACUUCCCCCCUUCACUUUGCCAUUAGAUGUCUGCUGUGUCACUGCCUAACACUUGAUCUGUAUUGUUCUUAUUUUCUUCCUGUGAUAAAGCUUCAAACACAAGAGCAAUAUCAGUUCCAUGCCGCCGAAGCCUGGGAGUUUUCUGGAAGGGAGAGCGUGAGGCUAUUACUCUUCCCAUGACAACAUUUGCUCCUGUGUUCUGAGGAAAAUGGCCUUCCUGAAAACGAUUUAUCUCAAGGUCACCACCUUAGAAGCAGAGACAGAAAAUGUACCCCUCUGUCUGCAGUGGUAAAACGGAAAUAAUAGGUCAUGGGAGGACCUCCUUCUGAGGAAUCUGUAGGCAGGGAGUCUCCUCUCCAUCUUGACACGAAUGUGCUCUGUGGGUCCUCAUAGACCCAGUGAGGACUCGGGGAGGUGAUACCUGAACAAGAGUGGCCAAGCUAGUCACUAACUAGAAAAGGAUCUGUAGCUUGGGCUUGUUUUAUACCAAGACUUUUAUGCACGCUUCCCUUCAAGGAAGUAUAGAACAAACAA
rnacentral:lncRNA from 1 species